rnacentral:rRNA from 1 species
UACGAAGGGAGCUAGCGUUGCUCGGAAUUACUGGGCGUAAAGGGAGCGUAGGCGGAUAGUUAAGUCAGAGGUGAAAGCCCAGGGCUCAACCUUGGAACUGCCUUUGAUACUAGAGGACUUGGGUACGGGAGAGGUGAGUGGAAUUCCGAGUGUAGAGGUGAAAUUCGUAGAUAUUCGGAAGAACACCAGUGGCGAAGGCGGCUCACUGGCCCGUUACCGACGCUCAGGCGCGACAGCGUGGGGAGCAAACAGG